rnacentral:tmRNA from 3 species
GGGGGCGACAUGGCUUCGACGUGGGUAUUGAAGCUUUGGGAGCAUGCAGGGGCGCACGAGGUCCUCUCUAAAAACGUGCACAAUUGUAAUUGGCAACGAUUACGCACUAGCUGCCUAAUUUAGAGUAGCUCACUGAACCGGUGUUGCGAUGACGAACCCGGGGAAGUGUCACUUUAGUCAUCUCGUUUGAAAGUUGUUUUCUCCAGGGCUUUCGAAUUAAAUUUUCUGGGGGACGGAUUGAGAAAAGUUUGUUCUUCGACGUUUCUCUUUCUUUGAUAAAUGAAGAACUAAGCAUGUAGCGCCCAACAGUGGAUCGCUUGCGGACGCGGGUUCGAUUCCCGCCGCCUCCACCA